UACGUAGGGGGCAAGCGUUGUCCGGAUUUAUUGGGCGGUAAAGAGCGUGUAGGCGGCCGUACAGGUCAGCUGUGAAAACUCGAGGCUCAACCUCGAGACGUCGGUUGAAACCGUACGGCUAGAGUCCGGAAGAGGAGAGUGGAAUUCCCGGUGUAGCGGUGAAAUGCGCAGAUAUCGGGAAGAACACCCGUGGCGAAGGCGGCUCUCUGGGACGGUACUGACGCUGAGACGCGAAAGCGUGGGGAGCGAACAGG
rnacentral:rRNA from 1 species